rnacentral:rRNA from 1 species
CCUACGGGAGGCAGCAGUAAGGAAUAUUGGUCAAUGGAGGCAACUCUGAACCAGCCAUGCCGCGUGCAGGAAGACGGCCCUAUGGGUUGUAAACUGCUUUUAUCUGGGAAUAAACCUAUUUACGUGUAAGUAGCUGAAUGUACCAGAAGAAUAAGGAUCGGCUAACUCCGUGCCAGCAGCCGCGGUAAUACGGAGGAUCCAAGCGUUAUCCGGAUUUAUUGGGUUUAAAGGGUGCGUAGGCGGCAGUUUAAGUCAGAGGUGAAAGACGGUAGCUCAACUAUCGCAGUGCCUUUGAUACUGAAUUGCUUGAAUGAACUAGAGGUAGGCGGAAUGAGACAAGUAGCGGUGAAAUGCAUAGAUAUGUCUCAGAACACCGAUUGCGAAGGCAGCUUACUAUGGUUUUAUUGACGCUGAGGCACGAAAGCGUGGGGAUCAAACAGGAUUAGAUACCCUGGUAGUCCACGCCCUAAACGAUGAAUACUCGCUGUUAGCGAUAUACAGUUAGCGGCUAAGCGAAAGCGUUAAGUAUUCCACCUGGGGAGUACGCUCGCAAGAGAGAACUACAAUAGAAUUGACGGCGUAGAGACGUUGCCGACGGACGACGACGAGGGAGGAGG